rnacentral:rRNA from 1 species
UCCUACGGGACGCAGCAGUGGGGAAUCUUGCACAAUGGGGGAAACCCUGAUGCAGCGACGCCGCGUGAGCGAUGAAGCCCUUCGGGGUGUAAAGCUCUUUCGACGGGAACGAUAAUGACGGUACCCGGAGAAGAAGCUGCGGCUAACUACGUGCCAGCAGCCGCGGUAAUACGUAGGCAGCGAGCGUUGUUCGGAGUUACUGGGCGUAAAGAGUAUGUAGGCGGUUGCGCAAGUUUGGUGUGAAAUCUCCCGGCUUAACUGGGAGGGUGCGCCGAAAACUGCGCGGCUAGAGUGCGGGAGAGGAGAGCGGAAUUCCUGGUGUAGCGGUGAAAUGCGUAGAUAUCAGGAGGAACACCGGCGGUGUAGACGGCUCUCUGGACCGCGACUGACGCUGAGAUACGAAAGCGUGGGGAGCAAACAGGAUUAGAUACCCCGGU